GGGGAUGUAGCUCAAAUUGCAGAGCGCUUAAUCGGCAUUUAAGAGGCAGGGGGUUCGAUACCUCCCAUCUCCA
rnacentral:tRNA from 1 species